ACUCGGCGAGUGACCGGGAUGAGCUCAAAUUUGAAAUCUGGCGUCUUUCAGGCGUCCGAGUUGUAAUCUAUAGAGGCGUUUUCCGCGCCGGACCGCGUCCAAGUCUCUUGGAAUAGAGUAUCAAAGAGGGUGACAAUCCCGUACUUGACGCGACAACCGGUGCUCUGUGAUACGUUCUCAAUGAGUCGAGUUGUUUGGGAAUGCAGCUCUAAAUGGGUGGUAAAUUCCAUCUAAGGCUAAAUAUUGGCGAGAGACCGAUAGCGAACAAGUACCGUGAGGGAAAGAUGAAAAGCACUUUGGAAAGAGAGUUAAACAGCACGUGAAAUUGUUAAAAGGGAAACGAUUGAAGUCAGUCGUGUGGGAAGUAUUCAGCCGUCUCUGGCGGUGUAUUUGCUUCUCACGGGUCAACAUCAGUUUGAUCCGGUAGAAAAAGGCGGGAAGAAGGUGGCACCCUCGGGUGUGUUAUAGCUUCCUGUCAUAUGUGCCGGACCAGACUGAGGAACGCAGCUUGCAGCAAUGCCGGGGUUCGCCCACGUACAAGCUUAGGAUGUUGACAUAAUGGCUUUAAACGACCCGUCUUGAAACACGGACC
rnacentral:rRNA from 1 species